rnacentral:lncRNA from 1 species
AUGGCAUGUGGAAUUAAAGGAAAUGCGUGAAAUCAAGAGUCCAAUAUGAAAUGGACUCUUCCAUUUCAAUGCACAAAAGAAAAAGGGCAUCCCACUUAAUUUGGCAUGUGAGUUCCUUCCAAGAGAAGGACUACUCCUUCUCUUCCACACCCACAUAUCCCAAGGAACCAUCUGAUGGUGCAAAAAAUAUAGGGAUGUGUGGAAUCAUGUAAUGAAUUUAAGAAAAGUAUGAAAGGACUUCUCCU